GAUGUGAGAGAGAGUAAAAAGAUACAAGUUCCGUAGGUGAACUGCGGAAGGAUCAUUA
rnacentral:rRNA from 1 species